rnacentral:rRNA from 1 species
UACGGAGGGGGCUAGCGUUGUUCGGAAUUACUGGGCGUAAAGCGCACGUAGGCGGCUUUGUAAGUUAGAGGUGAAAGCCCAGGGCUUAACCCUGGAAUUGCCUUUAAGACUGCAUCGCUCGAAUUGUGGAGAGGUGAGUGGAAUUCCGAGUGUAGAGGUGAAAUUCGUAGAUAUUCGGAAGAACACCAGUGGCGAAGGCGACUCACUGGACACAUAUUGACGCUGAGGUGCGAAAGCGUGGGGAGCGAACAGG